CUAGGAUCAUAACUGAUCACUUGGGCAAAUACAAGACGUUUGUUCGGGAAGGCCCGUCGAAGUGGAUUACCAACAAAAGAGUAUUACACUUAAAAUAAAAACCUUAACAUAAUCAGAGUAUCUUUUAGCGGAAAUACGUGUGAGUUAUACAUAUGAAGAUGUAUACUCAAGGUUACAUUAUUAUUUUACGUCACAAGGGUACAUCCGCUCAACUCCAUUCCAUUCCAUCACCCGCUCAA
rnacentral:lncRNA from 1 species